rnacentral:misc_RNA from 1 species
GCCACACAUGUGCGGGGGCAGUGGUGAAGCCCUGUCGCCGCCCUCCUCCCUUUACUCCUCACCACAUCUUCCAUCCCUUUCACGGCGUUUUCCGGAAAAUGAAGCAUUACGCUAGUGGAGUACGUGCAGUUUUUUUUUUCUGGCAGGGGGUGCUUGGUCAGUCGAGCUUCCAAACUUCUUGCGGCAUCACCGAAUAUGGCCGGCGGCCACGACACACAGGGAGCGACGCUCAUGCGUUGAACAUCAAAGGUCUUCGCACCAGGAGCACACCACUCAUGUUCCCGGGGGGAGGGGGGCGGUUUCGCCGCCGUCUACGGGAGCGGACGUGUAGCCGUUCGCGGCAGCAGAUAUGUCUGUCAUCGGGCAAGCCAUGGCUCAGAUGAAGACGAGCAUGGAAGCGGUCGCCAAGCGCUUGUGUCACCACAGAGGUCCACCGCGAGGACAGCGACGACGGCAGUCCCAGCGGAACCGGGCGGACCGCAAUGGAGGACAACGCUAGCAGCAACAGCAGCCUCCUGUUCCUACACAGCGUCCUAUGCAUACCGGCCUUCCGCUGUACCUUGGUUCAAAGGCUGGGUGUUUCACAUCGGGGGCCCAAUUCAUGUGGGACGGUGUCAAGCAGAUGCAGAGCGCAGAAGCGCGUCACAACACAGAGUGACUGCGAAGCUGCCAGAGGCUACGGUGUGCGUGUGCUUGUGGGGGGGGGGGGGGGUACACGGUCGCAGCUCAGCAGACGACCCGAACAGAGGAGGAGGAAGACGCCAUGCGAACCGCGGCGGCUCAAACUCAAGGCCGCAGAACGGCUUGCGGUCAUUCUCGGCUCCAUCGAACAGUGGCAAGGGUCGCAGCGUUGAUGCAAGUGGUCUCCCAUCUGCUGGUACUUUAUCUGGAUUCCCGCCUCUCCACCACCCCACCUCCUCAUUCUAUCUCCCUGCCUGUCCAUUGGCGGGCGAGGUGAGGUAUCGACCUGCGAGGUCGCCCCCGUGUCACGUGCUCCUCGUCUAUGCUACCCCUCUUGCCCUCCCUCUCUCUCUCUGUC